AUUGAACGCUGGCGGCAGGCCUAACACAUGCAAGUCGAGCGGUAGAGAGGUGCUUGCAUCUCUUGAGAGCGGCGGACGGGUGAGUAAUGCCUAGGAAUCUGCCUAGUGGUGGGGGAUAACGUUCGGAAACGGACGCUAAUACCGCAUACGUCCUACGGGAGAAAGCGGGGGGAUCUUCGGACCUCGCGCCAUUAGAUGAGCCUAGGUCGGAUUAGCUAGUUGGUGAGGUAAUGGCUCACCAAGGCGACGAUCCGUAACUGGUCUGAGAGGAUGAUCAGUCACACUGGAACUGAGACACGGUCCAGACUCCUACGGGAGGCAGCAGUGGGGAAUAUUGGACAAAUGGGCGAAAGCCUGAUCCAGCCAUGCCGCGUGUGUGAAGAAGGUCUUCGGAUUGUAAAGCACUUUAAGUUAGGGUAGGAAGGGCGAGUAAGUUAAUAACCUUG
rnacentral:rRNA from 1 species